rnacentral:rRNA from 1 species
AUUGAACGCUGGCGGCAUGCUUUACACAUGCAAGACGAACGGUAACAGGCCGCAAGGUGCUGACGAGUGGCGAACGGGUGAGUAAUGCAUCGGAACGUGCCCAGUCGUGGGGGAUAACGCCGCGAAAGCUGCGCUAAUACCGCAUACGAUCUAUGGAUGAAAGCGGGGGACCGUAAGGCCUCGCGCGAUUGGAGCGGCCGAUGUCAGAUUAGGUAGUUGGUGGGGUAAAGGCUCACCAAGCCAACGAUCUGUAGCUGGUCUGAGAGGACGACCAGCCACACUGGGACUGAGACACGGCCCAGACUCCUACGGGAGGCAGCAGUGGGGAAUUUUGGACAAUGGGCGCAAGCCUGAUCCAGCAAUGCCGCGUGCAGGAAGAAGGCCUUCGGGUUGUAAACUGCUUUUGUACGGAACGAAAAGGCUCUGGAUAAUACCUGGGGCUCAUGACGGUACCGUAAGAAUAAGCACCGGCUAACUACGUGCCAGCCGCCGCGGUAACAC